rnacentral:lncRNA from 1 species
GUAAAAAAAAUAAUGGUAUGCCGCUAAUACAAACAAUGAUACAACUUUUAUAAAAGAACAAAGUUUCUAUUUCCUCCACGUUGCACGUAGUUUAUCUAACAAAAGGCAAUAGCAAACAAUAUGUUUAUGCACCCGUAAAAAUUUUCGGGACGUAAAAUGGUAUAGAAAUGCCCGCGUCCGUCUGUCCGUCGUAAAUAUGGUACAGCAUAUUAUCAUUAAACUGAACAUGGUUGUUUUUUCAGUCAUGAUGGUCAAACGGUCUGUAUCAUUUUUGGUGAACUUUAUAAGUUACAGGACUUUGUAACUAGAACAGUUUUUUUUUACAGUUCGCGCUGCAUCUAGAAAACGUUUUAUGACUAUUGCUCUAAACUUUACGCACUUCUUAGUUAUAUAAUUCUGAAGAACUUGUAUAUACUUUUGAGAAUGAUUCAGAAUUUGAUUUUAGAGUUAUUGAGUUUAUGACAAAAAGGGGUUGGGGUUCACAUGUCGCGCCGUAUCUCAGAAACUAUCUAUAAUAAUUGCAUAGAACUUCACAUACUUUUUAGUUAAAUUAUUCUUAAGAUCUGUAUACUUUUUCGUGAUGAUUCUUUAAUUCAUUUUUGAGUUCUUGAAUUUUUAUUGAGCUUCAAUUUGGGGAUCAU